rnacentral:rRNA from 1 species
CNACCUGCCUAUAACUAGGGAAUAACCUUGCGAAAGUAAGACUAAUACCCUAUGAUUUCCUUUGAUNNNAUCAGAUUAGGAAUAAAGAUUUAUCGGUUAUAGAUGGGGAUGCGUCUGAUUAGCUGGACGGCGGGGUAACGGCCCACCGUGGCGACGAUCGGUAGGGGUUCUGAGAGGAAGGUCCCCCACAUUGGAACUGAGACACGGUCCAAACUCCUACGGGAGGCAGCAGUGAGGAAUAUUGGUCAAUGGGCGAGUGCCUGAACCAGCCAAGUAGCGUGAGGGAAGACUGCCCUAUGGGUUGUAAACCUCUUUCGUGCGGGGAUAAAGUGAGGGACGUGUCCCUCAUUGCAGGUACCGCACGAAUAAGGACCGGCUAAUUCCGUGCCAGCAGCCGCGGUAAUACGGAAGGUCUGGGCGUUAUCCGGAUUUAUUGGGUUUAAAGGGAGCGUAGGCCGGAGAUUAAGCGUGUUGUGAAAUGUAGAUGCCCAACAUCUGAACUGCAGCGCGAACUGGUUUCCUUGAGUACGCACAAAGUGGGCGGAAUUCGUGGUGUAGCGGUGAAAUGCUUAGAUAUCACGAAGAACUCCGAUUG